UUUAUUUUUAAAAUGAGCCGGCUAGUACGAUACCCUUCUCUGGUCAGAUAUGGAAUGUCAGAUAAUAUAUAUCCUAUCCAAUGGUAGUAAACAUUUGAUCCUCACUUUUCAAAAGUGCCAUUUUAACACACAAGUCUAUGGGAAUGUUUUACGCGUGUGACACACUUAUUGCUCUAUUGGGAAUCCCAGUGAUGUCAUUGCGGUUUUAUACUUCCGCACCAUCUAACACCCGAGUCUCCUUGUCAACAGCAAGACUGCAAGCCGUGUAAUCCUAUGUAAUUCUCUACUAGUACUUGAAUUACAAUAUGGUAGGCGCUACAUGCUAUAUAACGGCAUGAGUACUGUAUCUUCAUUAUAACUCCGUGCUCAGAGGAGUCACCUUCUAAAAUCAUUAAUAGCCCGAUCAGCCUUCUACCAUUACCCAUAGACAUGCCAAAAUGACGAUUAUACCGAUAGUGAUACUACUCUUUACAUCCUGUUUUCCAGAAAUGAAUAUGGCAUUGGACCCAAAGUUGAUAGCGAGUAUUUCUUCAAUUGUCAACGCACUUGCGAAUGAAGAAGGACAGGUAU